UUUUGACCUCAAAUCAGGUAGGACUACCCGCUGAACUUAAGCAUAUCAAUAAGCGGAGGAAAAGAAACUAACGAGGAUUCCCUUAGUAACUGCGAGUGAAGCGGGAAAAGCUCAAAUUUAAAAUCUGGCAGCGUUUGGUUGUCCGAGUUGUAACCUAGAGAAGUGCAGCCUGUGCUGGACCAUGUAUAAGUCUCCUGGAACGGAGUGUCACAGAGGGUGAGAAUCCCGUGUUUGACAUGGACUGCCAGUGCAUUGUGGCGUGCUCUCAAA
rnacentral:rRNA from 1 species